rnacentral:rRNA from 1 species
AGCUCCAAUAGCGUAUAUUAAAGUUGUUGCAGUUAAAAAGCUCGUAGUUGGAUUUGUGGCUGUCGCGUGCGACCUGACACUGAGUGUUAGCGUUUGCGUGCGUCGCCAUCCUUGGGUGGAACCUGUGUGGCAUUAGGUUGUCGUGCAGGGGAUGCCCAUCGUUUACUGUGAAAAAAUUAGAGUGUUCAAAGCAGGCUUAUGCCGUUGAAUAUAUUAGCAUGGAAUAAUAAGAUAGGACCUUGGUACUAUUUUGUUGGUUUGCGCACCAAGGUAAUGAUUAAUAGGGACAGUUGGGGGUAUUCGUAUUCCAUUGUCAGAGGUGAAAUUCUUGGAUUUUUGGAAGACGAACUACUGCGAAAGCAUUUACCAAGGAUGUUUUCA